rnacentral:sRNA from 1 species
GUGAUCACUCUGGAAGGCUGGGUGGAGAUCAUGUACUACGUGAUGGAUGCUCACUCCUUCUACAACUUCAUCUACUUCAUCCUGCUUAUCAUACUCCUCUUGCCUGCACCCCCACACGGUCUCCCCAGAGUGAGCUCAUCCACCUCGUCAUGCCUGACUGCAGCUUCA